rnacentral:rRNA from 1 species
GGGCCCGCACAAGCGGUGGAGUAUGUGGUUUAAUUCGAUGCAACGCGAAAAACCUUACCUACUCUUGACAUACUUGGAAGCUCUUGUAAUGAGAGUGUGCCUUUUGGAACCAAGAUACAGGUGCUGCAUGGCUGUCGUCAGCUCGUGUCGUGAGAUGUUCCGUUAAGUCGGAUAACGAGCGCAACCCUUACCCUUAUUUGCCAGCGAUUCGGUCGGGAACUAUAAGGGGACUGCCGGUGAUAAACCGGAGGAAGGUGAGGACGACGUCAAGUCAUCAUGGCCCUUACGAGUAGGGCUACACACGUGCUACAAUGGGGAAUACAGACGGACGCUAAGCCGCGAGGUGGUGCUAAUCCUAAAAAGCCUAUCGUAGUCCAGAUUGGAGUCUGCAACUCGACUCCAUGAAGUAGGAAUCGCUAGUAAUCG